CUGGAGCAGUGUGUGGUUAAGUACCUUGCUCAGGGACAUAACGCAUUGCCUUGGCUGGGGUUCAAACUCAUGACCUUCAGAUCGCUAGUCCAAUGCCUUAACCACUUGGCCACACAGUUUACUGCUUGAAAUUUACAAUUAAAACUGAAGACUGGUUUUUGUUGAAUUAAUAUUUGCCAUACUUACAUAACUCCAGACUAUUCCCUUACAAUGAUGAUCUUUUGAAAUCCUGAUACUCCUCCGACCCAAUCUCAAUUAAUGCCCCUUCUGAUCCUUGAAUAUUUUUGGCACUGCCUCUGCACUUACCCCCCUACAUAUCAAAAGAACAUUUUGCCUCAAGCUUUGCCACUCUGUCCUCUUCUAAACACACAUCUCAAUUUUCCCCAGCCCCACCCACUAAAAGUCCCCACUUCCAAUCAAAACACACCAGGCUGCAUUUGCUAGCUCUACACUUUUGUGUGCAAGGCCUGACUAUUCAGCAGCAUGCUUUAGGAAUUUAGGGGUGCAAGAACCCAUGUACAAAUAUUAUGUGAGUUGCUGCACAAAUAUUAGUUGAACAUAGUUUUUUGCUUAGAAAAAUCCUUGGCCUUUGCUGAAUUAAAAUUCAGUCAUCACCUCAAUGCUACACCUCACUUCCAAGAAACAUUCUUGCAGCAGUGGAGCUAUUCUCUAACCUUAAUAGGGAAUAGUUCAGCCUACAGUGACUGCACACCAGAACUAAGAUUUCAGUUGGUGAUGAUACAAUAUGAAGAAUAGACUUGUGCUUGCACACACCCAGAGGCUAUGUUCCAAUUAUUGUGAGCCUGCAUACUGGGGCAUUCAAAAGGAUGGGGAUUGCAUGCAGCAUCUACAAGACCAAUACCCUCUACCAAUCUGCAUCCAUUGCAGAAGUCCACCCCAUGACAAUGUGACCAUGGAAAAUGUGGACCACUUCCCUAUCCCAAUGAAGGGAAACAUUAAUGAUGAAAUUCAUCAUUGCCUUCAAUGCACUAAGAGCAUUAGAUCAACUGAGGAAAAGGGCCUGCAGAUCAUGACCUCACAGUCAGCACAAAACUCUUGGGCUAUUAGGCAGCACUCAUCGUUGCCCUCCCAUGUGCUUUGGAAAUGGAUAAUCUACAACAGGAACUUGAAAAGUUAUCACUAAUACUGCAGCAGAAUGCAAAAUUCUCCCAAGUUCACUCAAAGUAUAAACAAACAAAUAUCCAUGGCUUCUCCCAGGCUAACAUGCCCAGCACUAACGUCCACAUUUACCCGUACUGGCUCCAUUAAACAAGAUCAUCCACAUGCUCAACGCCCAAGUGCUGAAACUGGCGCUGUGUUCCAAACUCUGUCUCAGGAACAGGUGACCAGGAAGACAGAUGAUAUCCAAGACUGUGCUCAAAGCUUCCUUGAAAAUAAAAUGCAACAUCCCUAUCGAUUCUUGAGCACCUCUAGCCAAUAACUGUUCAUAUGUGGAGGAGGAGGGUACUUGGAAUGGUAUUGAGAAAAUCUAGAAUACACCAGAAGCACAGUGUCUCAGUGUGAAUGGCAGAUGGAGUCGCCGUUUCCCAAGUUGCCUUCCCUUCUGCUUAUCAGGCUCCUCUUGCCCUUUCAAAAGGAAGUCUGCAGUUCCCAUGGCCUCAACAGUCAGCUCAAAACCAGAAAGGAAGUAAGUCAUCCUCAGUUCCAAGGGACUGCUAUUACAGGAGGAUGUCAAUCUACCUGAUCUUUUACCCAUUCUUUGAUUCAGUCAGUUGUAUAAAAGGGCUCAUAUGUGAAACCACUUUUGGUGAUGCACUGUAGCCACUUUGUUUUUCAACACACUGCAGGACCCCAGGAUUGUGAAUAAUAUUUCAAAUAUCUAUUCAAAUAUUUUUGUAUUUCUACUUUAAGUAAGAUUUAACAUUUUAUGUUUUGGUAAUUCAGAUUCAGUAUAGAAGAUGUUAUUUCAAUAAGUUCAGAUAUAAAAUGCUAUUUCUUCAGGGUAUAUGAAUGGCUAAGAGUUUCUUGUAGCACAUUCAAAUGACAGACAAAAUUUUGGCGAGUAAAGAAUGUAAUUAAAAUAAAAACCUGUGCUGCUAGAAUAUUAAAGGAAACGAGAAAGGAAAUGGUACACAUCUAAAACUUUUUACCAUUAGAGCAACAUUAGAGUAUGUUUCUUUUAUAACUGUGUUAUUUAUACGCUGUACUGCAUCUGGAGUAAUAAUUAUUUUGUUCUUUAAUCUUGUGUACAAGUAAACAAUAUUCUUGAAUGAGAAGCAUCGCAAAUGGAAGAGGUGAAUUAAAAACAGAGGCUAGAAGUAGAAAGGCACCGUGAGCUUGUCUGGAGCUCGGACGAACCACCCGGGUCAAGUGCUACGUUCCAUGGGCGGAGGAAUGGUAAGUGCCUCUGGCUUGUUCAGAGGUGUGUCGACACGCUCAUGGUCAUGUUGUGAUGGCAAGUAUAUGGUAGCGGAAUCCUCCAAAUCUUGGUGGGCCAAUUUAAGGUGAUCUACUGAAAUACGUUCAGAUUUACCCUUCUUAACUAUGAUAAAAAUGUUUUCUCCCCAUUUCAAACUGCAGAACGGGCUGUCAUAAGGGGGCCUAAGGGCAUGCUGGUGUGCAUCAUGGCAGUGAAAACAAAUGAGGCAGAAUGUAACCUCUUAAAUUGAAACUCCAACUCAAUGCUGGUGGUUGUGAAUUAUAUAUGUUUCCACCAAUUACAUUACCCUACUGUCCAACAGGGGCUAACAAGAGAAGAUAAAAUGUGGCAAAAGAUCAAUACAUUACCAAAAUCAGCAGUAAAUCUGAGGAUAGGGAAAAUUUUAGACUUUAGUAGAGGACCAAGAUAUUUAUAAGGAAGGAGUAAGUAGAACAUAUGAAUAAUUUGGCAAGAAACAGACUCACAAACUAAAUGUUCGACAGAUAUUGGAAUAUGAGAAAAGAUCAGCAAAGAUAAUGUGGGUCCUUCACAGAAUGAGCAAGAAAUUGAUUUGGAAAGUUAUGAAAAGACCAAAAAAUUAAGCAAAUAUUUUGUUUGUAUUCAAGGAAAAGGCAACAAACAACCGGAGAUGGUGGGAGACUAUAAGUCAAAACUGAAUGAGGACCUGAAAGAAAUUAGUAACAGUUUAAAGAAAUGUAUUGGAGGAAUUUGUGAAACUAAAAGCCAAUGAAUUCCCAAGACCCGAUGACUUGCAUCCCAAGGCUUUGAAGGAGAGAACAAGCAGGGAAUUAGAGGCAAGCUAGUCUGACAUCAGCAGCAGGGAAAAUUGUCUACUACUUGGGAUUUGACAACAAACCAUUUAGAAAACAAUCAGUGGAAAGAGGGCAGAGUACACAUGGAUUCAUGCAAGAUGAAACAAAACUGGAUGGCAAUGCAAGUUCUGAUGAGAAGGCAGCAUGACUGGCUUCAGGAAGAUAUGGGGAGGCUAAGUGAAUGGAUUUGGCCGUGGAAGACAGAAUGCAAUGUGGGAUGAAAAAACUGUGAAAUUUUCCCCAUACAGAAAAAAAAUGAACAUUGAGAAGCUUUGAUGUUCGAAGAGACCCAGAUGUCCUCGGAGACUUGCAGCUUAAAGUUAACAUACAGCAACUGCAAGCUCUCUUUGUUACAAGAGAAUAUGGGUGUAAGAAUCAAAAUUGCCACAAGAAUAUAGGGUUUUGGUGACUAUUCCUGGAGCAUUGUGGCAAUGAAUGGAAUGAGGGGAGUGUGGUGGGAAAUGUCCCAUGAGAUGAGAUGAAAUAGACUGGCCUCAUGUUCUCUGAAGUUUAGAAGACCAGAAGAUGAUCUAGUUGAAAAGUCUAAAAUUCUAUCUCGCUAGAUAGGGUAGACUGAAGAUUACACAAGAACGAUGGAAGGAGGGGCCACUUCCUGACUGAGAAUAGAAAUUCCUUCACCACAAAGACUUUGAAUCUUUGGAAUUCUUUAUGAAAGAGGGCAGUGGAGUCUCAGAUACUGAUUAUCUUCAAGGCAGAGGUUAAUGUUUGAAUACUAAAGGAAUCAAAAGAUACAAGUUUUGUACUGAUUAAGGAUACUUAAAUAACUGGUCAGCCAUGCUUGUACAGAAUGGCACAGAAGGCAUGAGAGGCUGACUGGGUUGCUCCUAUUUCCAUUUCUUAAGUUCUAGUAAUCUUUUGAAGUGGUAGUUCAACCAAGCUACACAAGGAAGUGGGGUGGUGGUGGUUAUGAUGGUAUAAUGAGAAUCAAGUCACUCGGUGCAGUGUGGAAACAUCAGUGAUGGAGUCAAUGGAGUUGAAUGGUGUGAGCAGGGUCAAUAACUGAUAUCACAGAAUAAAAGAGAAAAAUCUUUGAGGAGUCUCUUCCUUGAAGAAAAGACUUUUUUUCCCUAUAAAACCUUACUACUUUUCAAAGUACAUAAAUGAUUAGACAAGGUUUUGGUAGGCGCAGGACAAAUGUUCAGCUAUUGACUUUUCAAAAAUUACAUACAAAUGACAAAAUUCAUCUUUUGUCAUUUACUCAGUAAAAAUCCUCUCAAUUCAUUGAAUUUAUUUAAGGUCAAAGUAAUACAAUUAAAAUGCUAAAAGGUUGAAUUAAACAUACCUCAGCAUGCUCCUUAUGCUCAAAUGAAAUAUGCUGGGCAUGUUGGGAAUUACAUUUCAAUCACUGGCAACAAGCAGUGUCUGCCUUUAUUCCCCAUUCAGAAAGAAGACGGUUUUAUAACUGGCUUAUAUUGCACAUUAGUGUUUUAAGACUACGGCUUCAAUGUCUAACUGAAGCAACAGUCUCUGACUCAGAAACCUUACACUGAGAUUAAAGGGUUAAGUUUAGGCAACCAUUGUGUUACCUUCUCAAAUCAUUAACAUGCUGUUACUGUUGGCCUUUGGUACCACACAUUUUUUCCCAUUUAAUAUUUCUCUCCUCAAAGCAGAGAGGCUAAAUGAAUACCGUAAAGACACAUCUAAUAUCAUGAAAGAUUUAGAUAAAGUAAUAAUUUCAAGAAUUAAUUUCUAUUCUUCAAAAGUUCAAUAAAGAAAAUAAACAAAUAAAUAAAAACAGAAAAUGCUGCAUGUAUUCGGCACAUUAGGCAGCACAGAAAAACAAAGUCGCUAUUUUAGGUCAACGGCCCUCCAUCAAAACAGGAAAAGUGAGAAAGCAAAUGCAGAGCAAAAUAUUAAGGUGAUUAGUCAAAGAACCAGGUGUGGUAUACACGAAAAAACUGUUGCAGCUAUGAUGCACCAUCAAUAACUCACUCUGAGACGUAAAGGCAAGAUAUCGGCUUUUAUUGAUUGGAAGAAAGAACAAGCAGUAGUUGACCACCAUACUACAUCCUGGAGACUGAGGGCAGGGCUCAGGCCUCAAUCGCCUUUAUACCGGGGUCUGUGGGAGGGGCCACAGGAGCAGUCAGCAGGGGGCGUGUCCAGACAGGUAUAUGUAGUUCACCACAAGCUGAUAAUAAGGGAAAAACAUAUAUUCAUCAGUUGUCUUAGAUGGGAAAUGGCUACUUGGAGGAAAAAUGUAGUUGUGUAGGAUAAGAAUGAGGAAGUGGAACUAAUGGAUUGGCUUUAAAAAAAAAGGCGGAAUGAACUCCUCCUGUGUUGUACUGCUCCAUGAUUCAAUUUGCAACGACGGCAAGCAUUUAUUGGCUACAUUAUGUAAAUAACAAAUCAUUCUUAUUUUAAUACCAAAUCGGCACCAAUGCAUUUCAAAUGAGAGCCAAGGAAUUAAUCAAUUUCCUAUCCAACCAGUUUUUCGAAGGAAUUGCAGUGGCAGAGCUGGAUGUGUUAAUGUUGCAUAGACCAAGAAUGGAACUCGUACUAAUUAUGGGUUUUGGCUGUUUGGAUUAAGACCUUUUGUCAGUUGUCUUAAUUGGCUCAACAAUUUUACUGAUGUUGGUCCUACUAUGGUCGCAGUUAGGUGCUCAUAUCAUUAUUGUUAUGACUGUUUUUAAAAUUUUAGAUGUAACCCAAAAUACUCUACUGGCAAAAAUCCACAAUUCGUCAUCAAACCAAAAAUGUCAACAGUGGGAAGCAUUUAAUCCUUCCACCAGGCUAAUCAACAGGUUACACCAGCUGCCUGCAUCACCAGUGAUGGCAGGUUGACCUUUGAAAAUGAAAGAUAUUGGGAAUGCAAUAUUUUGUGUAAGAACUUGCAAAUGGCUUUCUCUGUUCCUUCUGAAACCAUUUUGAUUACUUAAUCCUAUUAACGUCAAAAGUAUGAACAUUUGGUUUAGCUGGACUGAUUAAAAAAAGGCCACUGCGUUUCUUUUAUUUGAUCUUUUUUCAACAAUAAGCCCUGAAAGGCAGGAGAUGUGUACCUUAUUAAAAUGAGAGACUGUACACUAGCUGCACUGUGCAUGGUUUGUAACUAAUGAUCACCAGUCCUGAGAAAGGAAACCAACAUUGCAUU